CACUGCCGAGAAAAGCCUCUAGAUAGAAAAUAGGUGCCCGUACCGCAAACCGACACAGGUAGUCAAGAUGAGAAUUCUAAGGUGAGCGAGCGAACUCUCGUUAAGGAACUCGGCAAAAUGACCCCGUAACUUCGGGAGAAGGGGUGCUCUUUAGGGUUAACGCCCAGAAGAGCCGCAGUGAAUAGGCCCAAGCGACUGUUUAUCAAAAACACAGGUCUCUGCUAAACCGUAAGGUGAUGUAUAGGGGCUGACGCCUGCCCGGUGCUGGAAGGUUAAGAGGAGUGGUUAGCUUCUGCGAAGCUACGAAUCGAAGCCCCAGUAAACGGCGGCCGUAACUAUAACGGUCCUAAGGUAGCGAAAUUCCUUGUCGGGUAAGUUCCGACCCGCACGAAAGGCGUAACGAUUUGGGCACUGUCUCAACGAGAGACUCGGUGAAAUCAUAGUACCUGUGAAGAUGCAGGUUACCCGCGACAGGACGGAAAGACCCCGUGGAGCUUUACUGUAGCCUGAUAUUGAAAUUCGGCACAGCUUGUACAGGAUAGGUAGGAGCCUUUGAAACGUGAGCGCUAGCUUACGUGGAGGCGCUGGUGGGAUACUACCCUAGCUGUGUUGGCUUUCUAACCCGCACCACUUAUCGUGGUGGGAGACAGUGUCAGGCGGGCAGUUUGACUGGGGCGGUCGCCUCCUAAAAGGUAACGGAGGCGCUCAAAGGUUCCCUCAGAAUGGUUGGAAAUCAUUCAUAGAGUGUAAAGGCAUAAGGGAGCUUGACUGCGAGACCUACAAGUCGAGCAGGGUCGAAAGACGGACUUAGUGAUCCGGUGGUUCCGCAUGGAAGGGCCAUCGCUCAACGGAUAAAAGCUACCCCGGGGAUAACAGGCUUAUCUCCCCCAAGAGUUCACAUCGACGGGGAGGUUUGGCACCUCGAUGUCGGCUCAUCGCAUCCUGGGGCUGUAGUCGGUCCCAAGGGUUGGGCUGUUCGCCCAUUAAAGCGGUACGCGAGCUGGGUUCAGAACGUCGUGAGA
rnacentral:rRNA from 1 species